rnacentral:rRNA from 1 species
AUUGAACGCUGGCGGCAUGCCUUACACAUGCAAGUCGAACGGCAGCGCGGGGCAACCUGGCGGCGAGUGGCGAACGGGUGAGUAACAUAUCGGAACAUACCCUAGAGUGGGGGAUAACGUAGCGAAAGUUACGCUAAUACCGCAUACGCACUAAGGUGGAAAGUGGGGGAUUCGCAAGAACCUCAUGCUCAUGGAGUGGCCGAUAUCUGAUUAGCUAGUUGGUGAGGUAAAGGCUCACCAAGGCGACGAUCAGUAGCUGGUUUGAGAGAACGACCAGCCACACUGGAACUGAGACACGGUCCAGACUCCUACGGGAGGCAGCAGUGGGGAAUUUUGGACAAUGGGGGCAACCCUGAUCCAGCAAUGCCGCGUGGAGUGAAGAAGGCCU